UUCCUCUCCCAUGGGUGGACAUACUGGCAUUAUAAAGACGAGAAAUGCCAUAUGUUCCAGAUUUUACUGGCAGGGGAUGUCAGUUGAUAUUGAUAACUGGGUACUGGAGUGCGACAAAUGUCAAAAAGUUGGCAAACCUUUGACUGCUGUUCAGCCAUUGCAGUGUAUUAAGGUGUCUGCUGUCUGGGAGCUUCUUGGAAUUGACUUAACAGGACCAUUACCAAAAACCACAAGUGGCUUCCAGUACAUUCUCACAGUCACAGAUUACUUUUCAAAGUGGG